AACGCAUCUUGCGCUUCUUGGUAUUCUGAGAAGCAUGCCUGUUUGAGUGUCAUGAAAUUCUCAAAUCUUUAUUGGCUUUGAAAAACAAAUCUAAUAAGUUUUUGGAUAGUUGAGAAUUGCUGAAUUUUGUGAAAAAGUCAGCUUUCUUUAAAUAUAUUAGCAAGAUUAUAACUGAUCAUCAAUGGUAUAAUAAUUAUCUAUACUAUGACAGAUUGGAUUUUUUUUUGUAUUUUGCUUCUAAUUGUCUUAAAGACAAUCAAUGACAACUUUGACCUCAAAUCAGGUAGGAUUACCCGCUGAACUUAA
rnacentral:misc_RNA from 1 species